GACGAACGCUGGCGGCGUGCUUAACACAUGCAAGUCGAACGGAAAGGCCCUGCUCUUGUGGGGUGCUCGAGUGGCGAACGGGUGAGUAACACGUGAGUAACCUGCCCUUGACUUUGGGAUAACUUCAGGAAACUGGGGCUAAUACCGGAUAGGAGCUCCUGCUGCAUGGUGGGGGUUGGAAAGUUUCGGCGGUUGGGGAUGGACUCGCGGCUUAUCAGCUUGUUGGUGGGGUAGUGGCUUACCAAGGCUUUGACGGGUAGCCGGCCUGAGAGGGUGACCGGCCACAUUGGGACUGAGAUACGGCCCAGACUCCUACGGGAGGCAGCAGUGGGGAAUAUUGCACAAUGGGCGGAAGCCUGAUGCAGCGACGCCGCGUGCGGGAUGACGGCCUUCGAGUUGUAAACCGCUUUCGCCUGUGACGAAGCGUGAGUGACGGUAAUGGGUAAGGAAGCAACGGCUAACUACGUG
rnacentral:rRNA from 1 species